rnacentral:rRNA from 1 species
ACGCCGCGUGAGUGACGAAGGUUUUCGGAUCGUAAAACUCUGUUGUGAGGGAAGAACAAGUACCAACUAACUACUGGUACCGUGACGGUACCUCACCAGAAAGCCACGGCUAACUACGUGCCAGCAGCCGCGGUAAUACGUAGGUGGCAAGCGUUGUCCGGAAUUAUUGGGCGUAAAGCGCGCGCAGGCGGUCCUUUAAGUCUGAUGUGAAAGCCCACGGCUCAACCGUGGAGGGUCAUUGGAAACUGGAGGACUUGAGUGCAGAAGAGGAAAGUGGAAUUCCACGUGUAGCGGUGAAAUGCGUAGAGAUGUGGAGGAACACCAGUGGCGAAGGCGACUUUCUGGUCUGUAACUGACGCUGAGGCGCGAAAGCGUGGGGAGCAAACAGGAUUAGAUACCCUGGUAGUCCACGCCGUAAACGAUGAGUGCUAAGUGUUAGGGGGUUUCCGCCCCUUUAGUGCUGCAGCUAACGCAUUAAGCACUCCGCCUGGGGAGUACGGCCGCAAGGCUGAAACUCAAAGGAAUU